rnacentral:lncRNA from 1 species
UUGAGAAACAGACGCCUCACAAGUCCUCAACUGGCAGCUUCAUUAAAUAGUACCCCCAAAACACCAGUCUCAACGUCAACAGUGAAGAGGCGACUCCAGGAUGCCAUGCCCUGUGGACAGCACUUAAUUGGAGCCAAUUUCCUCCUACAACAGGACAAUGACCAAAAGCACAGCUCCAAACUAUGCAAUAACUAUUUAGGGAAGAAGCAGUCAGCUGGUAUUCUGUCUAUAAUGGAAUGGCCAGCACAGUCACCGGAUCUCAACCCUAUUGAGCUGUUGUGGGAGCAGCUUGACCGUAUGGUACGUAAGAAGUGCCCAUCAAGCCAAUCCAACUUGUGGGAGGUGCUUCAGGAAGCAUGGGGUGAAAUCUCUUCAGAUUACCUCAACAAAUUGACAACUAGAAUGCCGAAGGUCUGCAAGGCUGUAAUUGAACGUCAAUGUACCCAGACGAAGACAGAAGCUAGCUGUCCUCUGGCAACACCACGGUGCUACCCUACGGAGUGCUGCUGAGGCUACCAUAGACCUUCAAGAUGGUCCUUCCCUUCCUCCUCUGAGGAGCCUCCACUGGUGCACAUCUUACUAUGGUUGACCAGCCAGUGGCACCUCCACCUGUCCCAGUCUUACCUGUGCCAGCCCAGACCAUCUGCGUAGGAUCCGGGAGUGGUCACUCACCACUGCCACAACACAUCACACCACGUCACAGCCUCGCGCUCUCUGCCCUCAUGGUAGUUAGAUAGCAGCUGCUCUGCUCUGUACAGAACAAGAAAUGUCUCCUUGUGAACAAACAGGGAAAAAACAAAUAAACCCGGGGGUUGAUCAGGCCAUGUGCAGUGUGCGGUGCGCCCCAGCCCAGCUCCGCUCCGCUAGUCUUCGCCAGCAGCUCGCCUUCGCCACGCAGCAAUUAAAACCCCUGCCAUCAGGCAGACAGCUGGCGGACUUCCCACGGGAAUGCCAAUUAAGUUUGUAAAACAUUUAGACAACAAAACUGUACAAGAGAAAGCAUCACACCGAGGCAAUCGUCCCCACAACUCCCCACAGUACUCACCAUGACCUCCACUGGCCCUCCCAUCUGCAGCAGCCAACCGGAAAUACCACCUCAACACACAUACACAUACCCCAGAGAACCGGGAAUAUGCUCACAUAAAU